rnacentral:tRNA from 1 species
ACCUGGCUGGCUCAGUUGGAAGAGUGUGCGACUCUUGAUCUUGGGGUCAUGAGUUCGAGCCCCGUGUUGGGUG